rnacentral:tRNA from 1 species
GGGGGUUACGUUAAUAUAGACGAUUUGUUUUCAAAACAAAAAGUGCAUAAUGUGCACCCUCUG